rnacentral:lncRNA from 10 species
AGAACAGUUCAUAGUCAGUAGUUACUUGUGGGUAUAAGUUGUGUUUUCACUAUUCUUUUCAGGUCAACAUUAUUUAUUGAUUGACUGCAGGCCUCAUUAUAUUCCAUUGGAUGGCUUUACAAAUGUCACCAUCAUGAACAUCUCACAUUAGUUCUUAUACCAUAAGGGAAAUGACCUGACAAAAAUGUGGAAUCCCAAAAGAAAUUUGAAAACUGAAAGCAACUGGAAUUAGUUUCCUUGUUGAGACUGUCUUUUCAAUAGCAUUCUUUAGAUGUCAUCUCCAUCCUCCUAAAAUCGAACCAAACCAAACCAAACCAAACACCAUUCUAUGAUGUUUAUACACAUUUACUGAAGAUGCAAGCUGGAAGCUGGAAAGGAUGCUACAUGCAAAAUGACAGAGUAAAUAAAAAUAAACUAAACCUAUAUUUUUGAGUUUGUGAUAUUAACAGUUUAAGUUCUUUUUACCAGUUCCAGUUCUAUUCUCUUUGCCUAAAGUGUUUCAGUAUUUCUAAACUUGCAAUUGCUAUCACUAGUAUUACUAUUGUUAUUAUUAUUAAUACGUAUCUCUUUAUUUGGACCUCAGUUAUAUAAAAUUGGAUUAAUCCUAAUUUUUGCUAUCUGUAUGCCUAAAUAAU